ensembl:lincRNA
NNNNNNNNNNNNNNUCCAUUAAUUUUAACCACAUAUUUUAUCACAUAGUCAUAUCCCCAUCAGAUAAUUACAGCAUUUACCCAGUAUAUAAACUAUCUUAUUUUACUUCUACUUUGUUUUAAUGUUCUGUUUUAGGCUCAGUGUAUAUUUCAUACUUAAGUCACAGUUGAGAGCAGCCAUACUUUUACAAGCUAAGUAGCCACAAGUAGUCAGGGAAGAAUAAUCAGAAGACCAUAAACCUUUUCAUAGAGGAGGGUGAUCAAAGACUUUCUGGUGAUAGCAAUCCUCUGAGUUAGAGAACUAAUGAAAUAAGACUGCUGUCCUUAGUUAGUUAGUUAGUUAGUUAGUUAGUUAGUUAGUUAGUUAGACAACUAUUUAUUUGGGAAAACAUUCAGAUGGCCUUCUGAACUCAGCAGACCCAAAAGGAGACACUGGGAAAGUAGAUGGAGGGAAAGAUGCUCAUGUCCUUAGCCUCAGUAGAAGGGCUGGAUUGGGAACAAGAUCUAUGUUUUAAAAACUUUGAAUGUGUGAAAUCACAGAAAGUCCCAGAAUUCUUCCGCUAGUAGAAUGAAUGAAUGAAACCAUGAUGAAAUGAAAUCAUGUCUGUUUCAGGUUGGGAGAUUUUGUUACACCGUGAAUUUUCAGAAAUCCAAAAUUAAAUGACAAGGUAGAGAUGCUCAACUAUUAAGGUUUUUUUUUUUUUUGUCUUGUUUUGUUUUGUUUUGUCUUUUGUUUCUUUAUUUUUAUUUCAUUAGAAAAGGGGAAACAGAAAUAUAGGAGCUGAUGGCUAACAUUUAAAACUAGAUCAAGUGAGCCUCAAACCCCCCUACUCUAUGGAGAGAGAAAGAAAUAUCAGGAAGUGAAAGACAAUUUCCAUAGGAUUGUUGUCUCCUGCAUUAAAUAUAGUUUUCCAGUCACGUCAUAUCUAUGGAAACAAAAGCCUCAGAUUCAUGAAGGGAAAUAUAUCUUAAGCAACCUAAGAGUACUCUUUAAAGAGUCAGAGGUGGAAGAGAUAAGAGAUACUGCUCUGUAUAUUCUC